rnacentral:tRNA from 1 species
GAGGGUAUAGCUCAAGUGGUUAGAGCACAUGCUUGGCAUGCAUGAGGUCUUGGGUUCAAUACCCAGUACCUCCU